UACAGAGGUCUCAAGCGUUGUUCGGAUUCAUUGGGCGUAAAGGGUGCGUAGGUGGCGCCGUAAGUCAGGUGUGAAAUUUCGGAGCUUAACUCCGAAACUGCAUUUGAUACUGCGGUGCUUGAGGACUGGAGAGGAGACUGGAAUUUACGGUGUAGCAGUGAAAUGCGUAGAGAUCGUAAGGAAGACCAGUGGCGAAGGCGGGUCUCUGGACAGUUCCUGACACUGAGG
rnacentral:rRNA from 1 species